GUUGUCGUGGCCGAGUAGUUAAAGCGAUGGACUAGAAAUCAAUUGGGGUUUCUCAGCGCAGAUUCAAAUCCUGUCAAUAACA
rnacentral:tRNA from 1 species